UGCGUAGGCGGGCUAAUAAGUCAGUGGUGAAAUCUCUCGGCUCAACCGGGAAACUGCCAUUGAUACUGUUAGUCUUGAGUUCGGUUGAGGUAGGCGGAAUGUGUAAUGUAGCGGUGAAAUGCUUAGAUAUUACACAGAACACCAAUUGCGUAGGCAGCUUACUAGACCGACACUGACGCUGAGGCACGAAAGCGUGGGGAGCGAACAGGAUUAGAUACCCUGGUAGUCCC
rnacentral:rRNA from 1 species